rnacentral:miRNA from 1 species
UGUGGAGUCCGUAAUUAGCUG